rnacentral:rRNA from 1 species
UACAGAGGUCUCAAGCGUUGUUCGGAUUCAUUGGGCGUAAAGGGCGCGUAGGCGGUACUUCAAGUCAGGCGUGAAAGCCUGUGGCUCAACCACAGAAUUGCCUUCGAUACUGUUUGGCUUGAGACCGGAAGAGGUUAGUGGAACUGCGAGUGUAGAGGCGAAAUUCGUAGAUAUUCGCAAGAACACCAGUGGCGAAGGCGGCUCACUGGCCCGAUACUGACGCUGAGGCACGAAGGCGUGGGGAGCGAACGGG